rnacentral:lncRNA from 1 species
AUAGUUGACUUGCAAAGUUGUAUUAGUUCCAGGUAUAUAGCAAAGUUAAUCAGUCAUACAUAUAAAUAUAUCCAUUCUUUUUUCCCCGUAUAGGUUAUUACAAACUAUUGAGUAGGUUUUCCUGGACUACACACUUAAGUUCUUGUUAAUCAUCUAUUUUAUACAGUAGUAUGUAUGUGUUUUUCCCAUCCCACCAAUUCUCCCCCCACCCCAGUUUCAUCUAUGGUAACUGUAAUAUUGGUUUUGAAAAUUGUUCUAUUUUAUAAAUAAGUUCUUGUAUAGUUUUCUAUUAGAUUCCACAUAUGAUACCAUAAGAUAUUUGUCUUUCUCUGUCUGACUUACCUCACUCAAUAUGAUAAUCUCUAGGUCCAUUCAUAUCGCUGCAAAUGGCAUUAUUUCAUUCUUUUUUUUAAAGGCCAAAUAAUAUUCCAUUGUACACACAUGCUACAUCUUCUUUAUCCAUUCCUCUAUCAAUGGACCUUUAGUUUGCUUCUUGUCUCGGCUAUUGUAAAUAGUGCUGCAAUGAAUAUUGAGGAGCAUAUAUCUUUUUGAAUUAUGGUUUUCUCCAGAUAAAUGCCCAGGAGUGGGAUUGCUGGAUCAUAUGGUAAUUCUAUAUUUAGUUUUUAAAGGAACUUCCAUACAUCCCCCAUAGUGGAUGCACCAAUUUACAUUCCCACCAACAGUGUAGGUGGUUUCCCUUUUCUCCACACCCUCUCCAGCUUUUAUCAUUUGUAGACUUUUUGAUAAUUGCCAUCCUGACUGGUGUGAGGUGAUAGCUCAUUAUAGUUUUGGAUUUUUCUCUUUAUUUCUAAUCUUUCCCUGAGUUCUGUUAUCUCAUUUCUAUUAGAAAGUUCUGGUUUUUUUUAAUUUAAUCGUUUCUGAGUGCAUCUUUUUGACAUGCUUUCAUUGUCUGUAAGGAUGUUAUUCUGCUUUUUAUUCUCCUUUAUUCUCAUAAUAAUUUUAUAAGAGGGAGUGGAAUGGACUGGGAGUCUGUGGUUAGCAGAUGCAAACUAUUACAUUGAGAAUGGAUAAGCAAUGAAGUCCUACUGUACUGCACAGGGAACUAUAUCCAGUCUCUUGGGAUAGACCAUGAUGGAAGAUAAUAAGAAUGGGAAAGUAUAUAUAUGUAUUACUGGGUAGCAGAAAUUGGCACAACAUUGUAAAUCACCUAUAAUUUAAAAAGAAAAUUAAACCAACAAAAAUUAUUAAAAGUUUGUAUAUGAAAUCAGUUUUACAUGCACCUAAACUUUCGUAAGGUAUAGUUUUUGUAACUUCACAAAGCUUACUCUUCUACUGUUUUCUUACAAUAUUAAAUGUAAGGGUUUGUUUUAUGACAUUUCUUGUUCAUGUUCUUGUGCUCCAUUUUUAUCUGGAACAUCUUAUUUUUGUUUUUUUGUUUUUGUUUGUUUGUUUGUUUUUGUUUUUGUUUUUGUCUUUUUCAGGGCCGCACCCGUGGCAUAUGGAAGUUUCCAGGCUAGGAGUCUAAUCGGAGCUGUAGCUGCCGGCCUACACCACAGCUCACGGCAACACCAGAUCCUUAACCCACUGAGUAAGACCAGGGAUUGAACCCGCAACCUCAUGGGUCCUAGUCGGAUUCAUUAACCACUGAGCCACGACGGGAACUCCUGGAAUAUCUUUUUCUCUGUCUCUUGUCCCUUUUCUGCUCAACUUUUGAUUAUUCUCUCAGUCAUUUCUGCUCACUGUGGGGCUCUGCCUAUAAGGAAGCUGUGGGGUUGUGUGGGAGACAGAGUCCACUCCUUCAGACCUUACUCAGCACCUUUGCACUCAACUGUUGCUGGAGUGUGCAGAAUCCCUCAGUCUCAGCUGCUCUUCUUACAUUGGUCCUCUACUCAUUCUGGUGAUUACUGGUUGGGUGUUUUGGACAUUUUAGGCAGCUUCCCUCUGCUUCCUACACACAGGAGUAUGUCAUUCUUGCAGUUCUAGGUUGUUUGUUCUCACUCACAUAUCUUGGAUUCUUGGGGUAUCUUGCAACCUCAAUUUAUAGUAAAUCAAAGCAUUUUGGCUUUGUUUUCUUGUUGCUCAGGCAGUUUUUAUGUGAGAAUUUGAAAAAUUCAGAAAUAAGCCUUUAUUGACACCAUCUUUCUAAAAUGUCAAAACUUAUUAACUUUAUUUGUUAUGAAAUAAGGAAUUUUUUUUCAAGCUUUAUUGAGAUGAAAUUGAGAUAUAACACUGUGAGAAUUUGAAAAAUUCAGAAAUAAGCCUUUAUUGACCCCAUUUUUCUAAAAUGUCAAAACUUACUAACUUUAUUUGUUAUGAACUAAGGAGUUUUUUUCAAGCUUUAUUGAGAUGAAAUUGAGAUAUAACACUGGUCCAACAUCAUAGUAUGAUACAUGUUAUGGUACAUGUAUUUAUUGUGAAACAAUUACCAUGAUAAAUUUAGUUAAUCUAUCCUUCACCUCAUAUAAUUACCAUUUUGUUGUUAUGGUGAGAAUAUUUAAGAUUUAUUCUCUUAACAACUUUCAAGUAUAUAAUACAGUAUUCUUCUAUAUAGUCACCAUACUGUACAUUAGAUCCUCAGAACUUCUAACUGGGUGUUUGUACCCCUUGACCAGCAUCUCAUUUCCCUCACCCCUCAGUGCUUGGCAACCAUCAAUCUAUUCUCUGUUUCUAUGGGUUUGGCUUUUUUAGAUAACACAUAUAAGGGAGAACAUGCAGUAUGUAUCUUUCUAUGACUUGACUUGCUUCAUCUAGCAUAAUGCCCUCCGGUUUUAUCCAUGCCAUUGAAAAUGGCAGGAUUUCACUCUUUUUAAAAGUGAUUGAAUAUAUUCCAUUGUAUAUAUACCUAUGUACACUACAUCUUCUUUAUCCAUUCAUCUGUCAGUGGGCACUUAGGUUUUUUCCAUAUCUUUGUAUUGUGAAUAAAGCUGCAGUGAACAUGGAAUGCAGAUAUCUCUUUAAGAUCCAAUUUUCAUUUCCUUUUGGUGAAUAUUCAGAAGUGGGAUUGCUAGAUGGUAUGGUAGUUCUAGCUUUAAUUUUUUGAAGAACUUCUAUACUGUUUUCCAUAGUGGCUGCACCAGUUUACAUUCCCACCAACAGGGCACAAGGGCUCCCUUUUCUCCACUUACUCACCAGCAUGUGUUAUCCUUUGUCUCUUUGAUCAUAGCCAUUCUAACUGGUUUGAGGUGGUAUCUCACUGUGGUCUUGAUUUGCAUUUCCUGGAUGAUGAGUGGUGAUGAGCACCUUAUCAUGUACACUUGACCCUUUGAACAGCAUGGAAGUUAGAGGUGCCAACCUUCCAUGUAGUUGAAAAUUUGCUUGUAACCUUACAAUCAGCCCUCUGUUAUCUGUGGUUCCAUAAUACUAUACUUACUGCAGUGCCCUUUUACUCUGAUGCCUUUGAAUAGGGAAAUGACAUCAGAGCCCCUGAGGGAGGAGUGAGUAAGUAAAAAUGCCAACAGAGAUCAAGAACUGAUGGCACUGAGGGGAGAUGCAGUUCAUUGACUUUGACUCAAUUGAAGGUGCUAGGUUUGGCCGACGAACACGAACCACAACAGGAAAGUGGCAUUUACCACACAGGAAUGCCUGUUCGCCAGUUAGGAGAAAAGACAGAAAUACAUUUGGUUUCAAAUAUCAGCCUCAAAUCAAACUUUUGAAGUCCUGUGGAAAAUAAAGAAGACAAUAUACAAAGGGUCUUGGUGAACCGUGAAAGUGGCAUAAAGUGUAGGUAUCCAGAGCCCAGAUUCUGGAGUCAAAGGGUCUGGGUUUGGAACCCAGUCAAUAACCUACUAACUUUGUUACUAAUAUUUCUGAUCAGCAAUUCUUUUUUUUUUUUUUUUGGUCUUUUUGCCUUUUCUAGGGCCGCUCCCACGGCAUAUGGAGGUUCCCAGGCUAGGGGUCUAAUCGGAGCUGAAGCUGCUGACCUACACCAGGGCCACAGCAACGUGGGAUCCAAGCUGCGUCUGCAACCUGUGCCAGAGCUCACGCCAACGCCGGAUCCUUAACCCACUGAGCAAGGCCAGGGAUCAGAUCUGCAACCUCAUGGUUCCUGGUCAGAUUCGUUAACCAAUGAACCAUGAUGGGAACUCCUUGUGAUCAGCAAUUCUGAUGUGUGGGUUUAUUCUUCACUCCACCAAGCAAUUCUCCACCACCAGCUGAGUGUCUUACAAUUCAGCUCAGAUCUGACACUAUCUACCCAGAGAUAGCUUCAGAUUCACAAGUUAGGGCUCAAGCCUGAAAGACUGCCUCACCCCACCCCCUUCGGGUGCCAAUCUCAAGUCCAGGUUAUUACCUGUGCUUCUGACUCACAGGCUACAAGUCAGAGGUUCCCACUACCCACUUCCUGGUUCAAUUUAUUCUAGAGCAUCUCACAGAAAUUAGGAAACCAGCUUACUCACUAGGUUAUUGUGAGGUCUCAAAAAAAGGAGGUUCUUUUCUCCUCGAGGUUGAGGCCCAGUGGCACAAGGAAGCCCUCUGGCUCCACAACCUGAAAGUUCUCUGAACCCCCUUCUUUUGGGUUUUUUAUGGAGGCAUCAUUACCUAAGCACAAGUGAUUGAAUCAUUGGCCAUGUGAUGGAUUCAAUCUCUAACCAUGUUGCCUUCCAUAGAGAUCAGGUGGGUGGGACUAAAAAUUCCAACCCUCCAAUCACAGAGUUGGUUUCCUUGGGAACUAACUCCAUCCUUAGGUUUGUUCUUAACCUCAUCAACAUAACAAAAGAAAACAACAUAACAAAAGACACCUUUAUCACUCUCCUCACCUAGGGAAUUUCGGGGGUUUUAGGAGCCCGUGCCAGAGACAAAAUAUAUAGUAUUAUAAAUCACAGUAUCACAAUGACCUUGUACAGAUAACUUGACCUCUUUGUGCCUUGGUUUUUCUUUUCUAAAAAGUAAGGAGUAAUACUGUAAUAAUAAAUUAAUCACAUAAUUAAUACAUUAACUUAAUAAUUUAAAUUGACUAACAAUAUAAAGCACUUAGAACAGUACCUGGCACAUACUAUUUGUUGCUAUUGAUGUUAUUAUUCUUAUUCUUAUUAUAAUACCAUAAAGUUUGAGGAGAAAGAUUGUGCUAAAUG